UCGGUUCCGGUUCACGCCGCAGCAUCCCGGUACGGGAAGGCGACCCGGGGCC
rnacentral:ncRNA from 1 species